AGACGAGGCGGCCCGUGUUUGACCCAAAAAGACCCCGCACCGUCAUCGAGUUUCUCUCAAAACUCGAAAAACUAAAGCCAACGUGAACUUUUGCGGACCCCGUGGUCCGCU
rnacentral:other from 1 species